AAUCCAUUGCAUUCACUGCUAUAACUUGAAAUAGAUAUUGUUUCAAUAUACAUUAUAAAUAAUGGCUUAGUAUGUAAUAAAAAGCCAUAGAGAAAGAAUUAAUGGCAUUCAGAUGCAAAUUGUUUACAACAACAAACAUGUAAUUAGUCUAGUCCCUACAUUGAAUUUUCUAUGUGAAAAUUUCAGCUAGCUGGAAUUAUGAGUCAUGUAGACAGCACAAUUUAUCCCAUUAUUGUGUGUUGUUUAAGAGAUCAUCCUUCAGAAUAUCACUUCUGUAUACUGCCAAAUCACUACAUAUAAGUCAUACUACAUUGUAAGCUUGGACAUACAUACCUGGCUGUCAGUUUUCUGUCAGAGUGUUCACCACUGGGAGUGGAGGCCUGCUCAUCAUCAUCACUCUCCUGACUACCAGAGACUGACUGUGACUGUGUUGUCUCAAGCAGAAGGUCUGGUCGCUUGGCUCGCCUCUGGGACUUACGCAAUUCCUCUACAUCCAUUGCGUUCACUGUAUAGUCACUGUUGGUAUCCUCUGGUGGUGGGUAAUAGAUCAACUGAUGUCUCGACUCUUCUACUGACUCCCCCUCUGACAUGUCUUCUACGUCCCCAUCGUGUUCUGUACUCUCUAGGUCCUAAAAAAGUUGCAUAAACUUAUUUGACUUUAACUAAUAAAUUAGCAUAAAACAAACAAUGUCAGUUAAAUCCAUAACACUGUUUUAAUAUUAAAUGCUAUUUGAAAAAAUUACAAGAAACCGAAGCAAUCUUUAAUAAACUGAAGUGGUUUGAUAGGGUAAUUUGAAAACGAAAAUACAAAUCAGAACCACAUUAUUGGUUACUCUAAAACAAUUACAGCAGUUGUAGAGUAUUAAUUAGAUAAAUAAAAACUAUUAUAAGAGUA